UCGCCCGUCACACCAUGGGAGUCAGUUGCUCUAGAAGUCGGUGCGCCAACCUCGGAGGCAGCCGCCUAAAGAGUGACUGGUGACUGGGGUGAAGUCGUAACAAGGUACCC
rnacentral:rRNA from 1 species